GAAAAUGGAAGGUAAGAGUUUAUCAAAUGAAGGCUACAGAGACCGAGGCUUGACAGACCAGAAAAAUAUAUAAAGAAAUAAACAUGCUAAAUAGUAUAGCUAAACCCUGAUAACAACCUAUGCCACUCAUCACCUUCUUUUUCAUCCCAUGUAUUUGUUUAUCUUUUGCAAGCAGAGCAACUUUUGAAUAUCCAAUUCACACAUAAUGUAGCAGAUUUUUCCUGUCAACAGGUAUGGUAAUUUUUGUUUUCCUCUAAGCUUUUUCUUAGUUCAUUGAUAUUCAUGUUUAUAUUCUAAUAAUUUUGGUUCAGAUGUCAUUUAACUCAGGUUGAGAAAUACUAAGAAAAGGUUGAAACUCUUGAGAGAGAAUAAGGACUGAAACUUUUUAAGUUCAUGUAAUUUUUCCUGAUCACACAACACAAUAAAGAAUAUCCUUCUUUAGAUAAGACACACAUGCAACUUAGACAUGUUCCUGUUUAUAGAAAAUAGAAACACAUUUAGAAUUACAAAUGAUGUCAAUAUGUCAGAAAAAGGCUAAGUUUCAAAUUAAA
rnacentral:misc_RNA from 1 species